GGGCCAGUAGCUCAGUCGGUUAGAGCAGCGGACUCAUAAUCCGCCGGUCAUCGGUUCAAGUCCGAUCUGGCCCA
rnacentral:tRNA from 1 species